GCCAUUAUAACAUUAUGACGCAAUCCUUUCUAACAUCUUUAAAAGUAUGUAUUUUAUAAGUAAGUUUACAUACAUAUGUGGCAUUUGGAAGCAUUUGGACAAAAUGCAUUAAUUUCAUCUUUCAUGAGCUUUUGUACAUCUUGCCUUGCAGAGUACUUAGGGAGCAUGAGUAUUUUCGAAGAUAUCUGUGACAUCUGUUCUUAAUAUUCUAACAUCUUUCUUCCGUGUACAUUUGAUAGACAACAUAUUUUUGGCAGUCUUUGUUAUUAGAAUUGCCAAAAUGUUGAUAUUAAUUUGAGUGCCUUGGUUUUCAAUGAGUGCAAGCCAGAAUGAGCCUUUUCAGAGACUCAUGUUUGGAACCAAGUUAUUUCUAGAAAGCCAAAUGUUUCAACAUUCUUUUUAGGUAAUCAGAAAUAGAUUUAUAAUAGAAUAAGGAAACAAUUUCUGUUCAGGAACAGUUGUUCAAAUAUAUCUGCUCCCUCAUCUUUAUUUCUGAUCUGUGUAUUUUUAAAUAUAAGACUAUCUUAGAACUCCAUCCAAGUACCAGGCCAUGGGAUUUUGCAUUGCUUGAUACUUAACCCUCCUAAAUGCCCAUGUAAAGUGCAUUGAUAUGAGUGUAUAAAUGGCAUUUCAUGAAGAGAUUUUCUGAGACUUAGAUGUUACAGUGUUGAGCACUGUGCUGUGCAGUUUUUAUAGGUGAGAGCACAGAGUGAAAGGCACAGCCAUGAGUUAAGUGCCAGGGCUUCUUAUACAACAUGUGAGAAGCCCCCUCUAAGAGAGUCAUGCAAAGUCCAGAUCACAUCAGAAAGUAAAAAGGGCCAGUAAGGAAAUAACUCCAGGUACUCUGGAUUUGCAGUCUUGUUCCUGACGGGAGAAAAUGUUCCCAGGUAUUUCUUUUCAGAAGUUAGGUGACUGUAAUUUCUUUGAAAUCAUGCCAUCCAGUGAUUAGGUGACUGUUGAAUUCAUCUGGAAUUAAAUCCCUUUCUAUUUCUUGUAUGUCUCUGAAGAAUUCAUUAGCUACAGGCCUGCAAACUAUUCUGUGUUGGUGUUAGCUUAUCUCCUCUGGGGAAGCUGUUGUCUAGAUUAGCAGGCCUUGGGGAGAGGGUGAACAUGGCCUGGGUUUCUAACCUGUCCGACACAUGGAAGGGAAAGAUUAGGUUCCAGUCGCUCUUGGAAGGAUUAUUGUGGUGGAUGAGCUAUGUAACCCACCUUUUCCUACUCCAGAAAGAAAGACGAGGCUGCAACUACGUUUUCUGAGGAGGCCAGCGUGAGCAAUGAGAAUGUAUACUGGAUCAGGCACAAGUUGAUGACUGCAUGAAUCCUGAUGGACCCCGGUGUGAGAUAAUCUGCAGAAACAAACGGGAAAAGCCCGUGCAGACAUUGACAUCCUGUCCCUGUCAAGGUACUGGAAUACAGGACUGCUCAUGUAUCUACUGGUUGAAAACCUCGAUGGUAGGUGGGAAAGUGGAUCCUGGAUAAAAGUCCUGCCCAAGACAAGACUCCAAGCUGAAGACUCCAAUUAUCUAUAAAUCACUUCUAUUUCCUGCAGAGAAAGAGAAAAAGGAGAGAAGAGCGAGACAGACAGAAAAACAGAGGCAGAGGAUAUGCCAAGUGAAAUAUUCAAUACCUGUCCUAAA